AGAGUUUGAUCCUGGCUCAGGACGAACGCUGGCGGCGUGCCUAAUACAUGCAAGUCGUGCGAGGCUCUUCGGAGUCGAGCGGCGGACGGGUGAGUAACACGUGGGCAAUCUGCCCGACAGACCGGGAUAACGCUUGGAAACGAGUGCUAAUACCGGAUAGGCUCUUGGACCGCAUGGUUCGAGAGGGAAAGCUGCUCUUG
rnacentral:rRNA from 1 species